CCUACGGGUGGCAGCAGUGAGGAAUAUUGGUCAAUGGACGAGAGUCUGAACCAGCCAAGUAGCGUGAAGGAUGACUGCCCUAUGGGUUGUAAACUUCUUUUAUAAAGGAAUAAAACGAGGCACGUGUGCCUUUUUGCAUGUACUUUAUGAAUAAGGAUCGGCUAACUCCGGGCCAGCAGCCGCGGUAAUACGGAGGAUCCGAGCGUUAUCCGGAUUUAUUGGGUUUAAAGGGAGCGUAGAUGGGUUGUUAAGUCAGUUGUGAAAGUUUGCGGCUCAACCGUAAAAUUGCAAUUGAUACUGGCAGUCUUGAGUACAGUUGAGGUAAGCGGAAUUCGUGGUGUAGCGGUGAAAUGCGUAGAUAUCACGAAGAACCCCGAUUGCGAAGGCAGCUUACUAAACUGUGACUGACAUUGAUGCUCGAAAGUGUGGGUAGCAAACAGGAUUAGAUACCCUUGUAGUC
rnacentral:rRNA from 1 species